UUUGAUUUCCUGCAAGUUGUCAUAAUAAGUCCUAGAGGUAUUAACAUCACCUGAAAAUAGAUGCCCGUGUGUGUCAUACUCACUUUUUUGGUUGCUAGAGAUGGAAUUGCCACCUGUACAAAAGUCAGACUAGGACUCAGACUGAUGUCAAUAGGACUAAAGUUGUAAAUUUAUUGUUCCACCCAAAAAGUGGAACAAGGUGGGACCACAAAUUAUGUCAACGGGACAAAAAAUGCAGCCUUUUUUCCCACCCAAAAAAAAAAAGUGGAAAAAUGACAACAAGACAAAAGCCGUCAUUUUUUGUCUCAUGCAAAAAAGUGGAAUAGGGAAUGGUGUCAAUGUCCCACCCAAAAAGUGGUCAAUGCGACGAUAAAUACAAUUUAUUGUCCUAUCGAUGAAAGGUAGGAAAAAGAUUGUGAAAAAGACGUGAAUACCCUCAUAAUUGAAAAUAGCCUUAGAAAGCUUGUCCAUUCGCUGGUAAGAAAAUUGCUCUGUAAAAAAGGUUAUUCUUCUAGCAACCCCUUAGCUGGCUCACACCAGCCUGCGCUCAGAUCAAUCAUUUGAGAUGUAAAUCAGAUACAUAAGACCCCAAUCCACAUUGGAACCCAUUUGUAAUCAUUUCUUUAAAGAUCAAACCAUUUUUUUCUAUUCAAUUAUUCGGCUUCACACCUUCCCCCCUACAUUUCCUUUGUAAUUCCUCCACCAACAAAUCAUUCCCUUCANGUGGAAAAAUGACAACAAGACAAAAGCCGUCAUUUUUUGUCUCAUGCAAAAAAGUGGAAUAGGGAAUGGUGUCAAUGUCCCACCCAAAAAGUGGUCAAUGCGACGAUAAAUACAAUUUAUUGUCCUAUCGAUGAAAGGUAGGAAAAAGAUUGUGAAAAAGACGUGAAUACCCUCAUAAUUGAAAAUAGCCUUAGAAAGCUUGUCCAUUCGCUGGUAAGAAAAUUGCUCUGUAAAAAAGGUUAUUCUUCUAGCAACCCCUUAGCUGGCUCACACCAGCCUGCGCUCAGAUCAAUCAUUUGAGAUGUAAAUCAGAUACAUAAGACCCCAAUCCACAUUGGAACCCAUUUGUAAUCAUUUCUUUAAAGAUCAAACCAUUUUUUUCUAUUCA
rnacentral:lncRNA from 1 species